GGACUACCCCAUCUGUCGCUCUAACGAGCCGGCCUCGCCGCCAGGGGACGCUUGGGCCGCAGGAAGGUCGCUGGGUCGUGAGCUGGCGCCGGGGACGCCAAGCGACUGCGGGGCUUCCCUCAGCGUCCUGCUAUCCGGCUGCCCGCCGCGCUCCCUGGUAGUGUCCGUGGGCGCGCAGGCCUUGAAGAACCUCCUCGCGGCGGGCCGCCGAGGAGAGGUGUCAAAGCGCUGGCGCGUCUCCAGAGCCCCGGGAGGAAGGCUGUAACGGCAGCCCCAUUGUAGACAGGGACAUUCGCAUCCCGAGCCCUGGAUCUCUGAAAAGCAGCCCAGAAUUUGGAAGCUGGAAGGAACUUUAGAUCGUCCAUUCUGGGUGUCUCUCUUCGUUGGCGUUUUCCCACUGAGGUUAUGUAAACAUGAAGAGGAGCCUACAAGUGUCAAGGAAAAAACGACAGCUAACCACAGGGCAGGCCAUGGCCAAGAUAGCUCAGUGUUCUCCGCUCUCAUAGG
rnacentral:antisense_RNA from 1 species